UACGAACCGUCCAAACGUUAUUCGGAAUCACUGGGCUUAAAGGGUGCGUAGGCGGCGCUACAAGUUGGGUGUGAAAGCCCUCGGCUCAACCGAGGAAUUGCGCCCAAAACUGUAGUGCUUGAGGGAGAUAGAGGUGAGCGGAACUUAGGGUGGAGCGGUGAAAUGCGUUGAUAUCCUAAGGAACACCUGGGGCGAAAGCGGCUCACUGGAUCUCUUCUGACGCUGAUGCACGAAAGCUAGGGUAGCGAACGGG
rnacentral:rRNA from 1 species